GCCUCCUUUUGGGCCAAAUUUACUGGAAUUUUUGGGCUUAACCCGAUUCCCUUUUUUGUAUACAGCUGGUGUAUAUCAAUGUAUAUCAGCGUGUGCAUAGGCUCUUUUCAUGUAUCUCUUCCUUCCGAACACCUAUAUUUCACCUUAGCCCUGUAUUUUUGCAUUUUUGACCUGUAUAUAAGUGUAUACAACUGCAUAUAGCGUAUAUUGAAUGUAUAUUGUCCAUCUUAGGACUUUUGGAGGCUUGUAUCUGGGUUUCCAGCCCUUUGAGGCUGCUGCAAUUUUAGCAUUGUGUGGCUUGGGUUUUAACCCAAAUAUUUGCUUCCCUUUUAA
rnacentral:lncRNA from 1 species